rnacentral:rRNA from 1 species
UAUGGUAUUGCCAGCAGCCGCGGUAAAACGUAGGUCACAAGCGUUGUCCGGAAUUACUGGGUGUAAAGGGAGCGCAGGCGGGAAGACAAGUUGGAAGUGAAAUCCAUGGGCUCAACCCAUGAACUGCUUUCAAAACUGUUUUUCUUGAGUAGUGCAGAGGUAGGCGGAAUUCCCGGUGUAGCGGUGGAAUGCGUAGAUAUCGGGAGGAACACCAGUGGCGAAGGCGGCCUACUGGGCACCAACUGACGCUGAGGCUCGAAAGUGUGGGUAGCAAACAGG